UACGUAGGGAGCAAGCGUUGUCCGGAUUUAUUGGGCGUAAAGAGCUCGUAGGCGGUUCGGUAAGUCGGGUGUGAAAACUCUGGGCUCAACCCGGAGAGGCCACUCGAUACUGCUGUGACUUGAGUCUGGUAGGGGAGCACGGAAUUCCUGGUGUAGCGGUGAAAUGCACAGAUAUCAGGAGGAACACCAGUGGCGAAGGCGGCGAUCUGGGUCGUUGCUGACGCUGAGGCGCGAAAGCGUGGGGAGCAAACAGG
rnacentral:rRNA from 1 species